rnacentral:rRNA from 1 species
CCUACGGGAGGCAGCAGUGAGGAAUAUUGGUCAAUGGCCGGAAGGCUGAACCAGCCAAGCCGCGUGAAUGACGAAGGUGCCAAGCAUUGUAAACUUCUUUUGUCAAGAGACAAAAUCAGGCUCGAGAGCCUGACCGAGGGUACUUGAAGAGAAAGCAUCGGCUAACUCCGUGCCAGCAGCCGCGGUAAGACGGAGGAUGCGAGCGUUAUCCGGAUUGAUUGGGUUAAAGGGGUGCGUAGGCGGGCUGUUAAGUCAGCGGUAAAACCCCGGGGCUCAACCCCGGCGAGCCGUUGAAACUGGCUGUCUUGAGAUGUCGAGAGGUAUGCUGAAUGCGCAGUGUAGCGGUGAAAUGCUUAGAUAUUGCGCAGAACUCCGAUUGCGAAGGCAGCAUACCGGCGGCGAUCUGACGCUGAGGCACGAAAGCGUGGGUAUCGAACAGGAUUAGAUACCCGUGUAGUC